rnacentral:rRNA from 1 species
GUCGAGCGGAUGAGUGGAGCUUGCUCCAUGAUUCAGCGGCGGACGGGUGAGUAAUGCCUAGGAAUCUGCCUGGUAGUGGGGGACAACGUUUCGAAAGGAACGCUAAUACCGCAUACGUCCUACGGGAGAAAGCAGGGGACCUUCGGGCCUUGCGCUAUCAGAUGAGCCUAGGUCGGAUUAGCUAGUUGGUGAGGUAAAGGCUCACCAAGGCGACGAUCCGUAACUGGUCUGAGAGGAUGAUCAGUCACACUGGAACUGAGACACGGUCCAGACUCCUACGGGAGGCAGCAGUGGGGAAUAUUGGACAAUGGGCGAAAGCCUGAUCCAGCCAUGCCGCGUGUGUGAAGAAGGUCUUCGGAUUGUAAAGCACUUUAAGUUGGGAGGAAGGGCAGUAAGUUAAUACCUUGCUGUUUUGACGUUACCGACAGAAUAAGCACCGGCUAACUUCGUGCCAGCAGCCGCGGUAAUACGAAGGGUGCAAGCGUUAAUCGGAAUUACUGGGCGUAAAGCGCGCGUAGGUGGUUCAGCAAGUUGGAUGUGAAAGCCCCGGGCUCAACCUGGGAACUGCAUCCAAAACUACUGAGCUAGAGUACGGUAGAGGGUGGUGGAAUUUCCUGUGUAGCGGUGAAAUGCGUAGAUAUAGGAAGGAACACCAGUGGCGAAGGCGACCACCUGGACUGAUACUGACACUGAGGUGCGAAAGCGUGGGGAGCAAACAG